UACGUAGGGCGCAAGCGUUGUCCGGAUUUAUUGGGCGUAAAGAGCUCGUAGGCGGUCUGUCGCGUCGGCUGUGAAAACCCGAGGCUCAACCUCGGGCCUGCAGUCGAUACGGGCAGACUAGAGUGUGGCAGGGGAGACUGGAAUUCCUGGUGUAGCGGUGAAAUGCGCAGAUAUCAGGAGGAACACCGGUGGCGAAGGCGGGUCUCUGGGCCAUACCUGACGCUGAGGAGCGAAAGCGUGGGGAGCGAACAGG
rnacentral:rRNA from 1 species